GCCCGGCUAGCUCAGUCGGUAGAGCAUGAGACUUUUAAUCUCAGGGUCGUGGGUUCAAGUCCCAUGUUGGGCG
rfam:Takifugu rubripes genomic scaffold, scaffold_2691